rnacentral:rRNA from 1 species
AACCCUUGUCACUAGUUGCCAUCAUUUGGUUGGGCACUCUAGUGAGACUGCCGGUGACAAACCGGAGGAAAGUGGGGAUGACGUCAAGUCCUCAUGGCCCUUAUGGUAGGGCUACACACGUGCUACAAUGGCCGGUACAAAGGGCUGCAAUACCGCAAGGUGGAGCGAACCCCAAAAAGCCGGUCUCAGUUCGGAUUGGAGUCUGCAACUCGACUCCAUGAAGUUGGAAUCGCUAGUAAUCGCGGAUCAGCAUGCCGCGGUGAAUACGUUCCCGGGCCUU